UGGGGUGUAGCAUAGUUGGCAAUGCGCUGGAUUGUUGAUCCAGAGAUCGGAGGUUCGAAUCCUCUCACCCCAG
rnacentral:tRNA from 1 species